rnacentral:sRNA from 1 species
CCCUAUUACUUUGCUGCAGAACUCCUCCCGGGAAACCUACCUGAGCCUGCUCCAUUCACUGUGGGUGACAAUCGGACCUACCAAGGCUUUUGGAACCCUCCUUUGGCUCCGCGCAAAGGAUACAACAUCUAUUUCCAGGCGAUGAGCAGUGUGGAGAAGGAAACUAAAACCCAGUGUGUACGCAUUGCUACAAAAGCGUUUUUUCCACAUAUGAAAAGCUAACCCUGUUUUACAAAAACUAAAAAAAAAUUAGCCAGGCGUGGUGACAUGUGCCUGUAGCUCCAGCUACUUGGAAGAUGGGAAGGUUGCUUCAGCCUAGGAAUUUGAGGCUGCAGUGAGCUAUGAUUGUACCACUGCACUCCAGCCUGGGUGACAGAGUGAGACUCUGUCUCAAAAGAAAAAGAAAAGAAAAGAAAUGAUAAAGAAAAACUACCACAUUUAUUAAAGUAACAUCAACUUAUUGCCUGACUACAUUUUAAACUAGCAUGCAAGUAUGGUCAGCUUUGGUGUGAAAUUUUUCAAUACGAAAAUAAAAAGUUUUCUGACAGGG